UGCCCGCUGAUAGGUCACUAGCAAAGCAAAUCUGUCUUCUCAUCAGUGCGUUUUCCCGUGUGCCGCUCUGACAGUACCAGUGCUAUCAGUGGGUACGACACGAACUGAAUGCAAACAGACCGUGGAGGGGAGAAUCACCACUGAAAGAAGCCAGUCUGUGAGCAGUGGGGCUAAUAAAACAUGGUUUCCAUUGGCUUGGUGGCCUUUGUCCCUUCUCCUUCACGGUGCACUACGUUGACCUUUCUCCAUUUCUUUUCCGGUAUGCAGAGAGUCGUUGCACUGCCUGCCUCAUCUGGAUUACCAGCAGACUUCUCAUAGGAGAUAUUAAUUAUAGGUUAUCAUUAUAUGAUCUUUUCACCUGUGGAAAUGAGGGGAAGCUCAUCCCAUUCACAAAAUCACACGGGUGGUUUCUUGCUUGCAACGCACUCAAGUAGUACAAGGAUGGCAUGACAGAAAAGUCAACAGACAUUCAUAAUCCCAUCUUCGUAACAAGUCUUGAGUACAGCUGUAAUGAAAUACCCCGAAUGUCAUUUAUUCCUCUCUGCGCUUCUUUCAAUAUGAGUCUCCAAAGCAACAAGCAACAUCUCCUGUGGAAAAAAGGGUAUCUGAAAACUACUCUGAAUACUGCAGAUGUUGAAAAAAGAAUGAAAGUAAAAGAAAUAUGAUAAACAUUGUCUACUGAGAAAGCUCCCAUGGAACUGCUGAGUGAGGAUCGCUGACGCUUGGAGUCACGUAAUUAUGAAACAGUGAAGAUGAGCUGUCGGGAGAUCUCUAGUUAGAUAGAGCAGCCAACCCCGACAGAUAAUGUUUCCUACGUGCGCUACUAAGGGAUGUUAUGUCAGAGAAGUUGGUGUGUUGUGCUCCCAGUGAAGUGGCCGAGACAAGAUACGGACUGGUAAAAAUACAUGGAAAGUUUUUUGGAGUGUGUCUUUUAGUAUGUUAUCUAUCCAAUUCCAGGCUAUUCAGCACAGUCGUGAAGGAAACCAAAGGUGUGGUAUUAUCUGGAAAGCUGAGAGGUGGGUAGAUACCCAGUAGAUAGGGGUUUUGUCACAGUUUCCAUUUGCCUCAACUCUGCCAUUUGGAAGAUGAUAAAAUUAACACCUCGGCCUACCUGCUCUGCUUUGCACACGUCACAGAAUCGAGGGUGAAAAAAUACCAUUCAUUAUUUGUAACUUACUGUUUUUUAAAAAUCUCCUUUGGCACUUGGGGCAGCAAGUUGUGUUGUUUUAUGGAAAAAAUCUCUUAUUUACUUUGCAUGUAGCUGUUCUUUUAGAAUUUACAUUUUUUAUACAGGAAGGUAUUAGCAGCUGCCAUCAGAUAGUUCUUACAUCUGUAGAAAGUCUCAGAUCUGGGUAAAGAUGUUAAAUGUGCUAAACAGCUUUCCUUCGGGCUAAAUGAUAGGAAUAUUUAAACAUGUUUUUAGCUGCUCGUAGGGAGGCAGUAAUCAAGAAAAGCAAAGGCUGAGCUGAGUUACGCCGUGCAGUCUGAGAGACUGGUUCCAAACACAGCAGAAGGAAUAAGUCAGGUAAGAAACCGUGAGCGCAGCUUAGGAGUAAGCGGGGAGUUGAGGCCCUUUGGGGCUUAUGACUCACUGGCCGAGGAGGCUGGGGCAUGCUGAGCAAUGAAAGUGGCUAUUAUUGUUUGGGGUUUUGUUGGGUUUUUUUAAAACUUUAUGUGAUUAUAUACUUUGCAAACAGCAUUGCACAAAAUAAAACCGCAAUGAACACCUGUUCGUAUCAUC